CUUUCGAGUAUUUUUUAGUUCUUAAAAUUUAUGCUUGUAUUUGAUUAUAGAUGUCAGUGACAUUUCAUAGUUUCAAAAGUCCUUGCUGCUCUGAGAAGUGUAGAUUCUAGUGAAAAUUACAUAGUCAUAAGAGAAAUGCACUACUUGAUAUUUUUGCAUUAGUUAAGACAGAAAUUUGAUAGCUCAGUUAGAGAGGAGGGAAAAUCUGCUGCUAGAAAUGUCUGAACUAAGUGCCAUACUUGUCUGGGUAAGAUUUGGGAAACAUAACCUCUGUACAU
rnacentral:lncRNA from 1 species